rnacentral:rRNA from 1 species
GAUGAACGCUGGCGGCGUGCCUAAUACAUGCAAGUCGAGCGAACAGACGAGGAGCUUGCUCCUCUGACGUUAGCAGCGGACGGGUGAGUAACACGUGGAUAACCUACCUAUAAGACUGGGAUAACUUCGGGAAACCGGAGCUAAUACCGGAUAAUAUAUUGAACCGCAUGGUUCAAUAGUGAAAGACGGUUUUGCUGUGACUUAUAGAUGGAUCCGCGCCGCAUUAGCUAGUUGGUAAGGUAACGGCUUACCAAGGCAACGAUGCGUAGCCGACCUGAGAGGGUGAUCGGCCACACUGGAACUGAGACACGGUCCAGACUCCUACGGGAGGCAGCAGUAGGGAAUCUUCCGCAAUGGGCGAAAGCCUGACGGAGCAACGCCGCGUGAGUGAUGAAGGUCUUCGGAUCGUAAAACUCUGUUAUUAGGGAAGAACAAAUGUGUAAGUAACUAUGCACGUCUUGACGGUACCUAAUCAGAAAGCCACGGCUAACUACGUG